UCAGGAAAUGACAUAGGAAAUCUUUCAAGGUACAGGCUUUUCCAAAAUGUGAGGCAUAUGGAAAAUUCAGGCAACACCCUGUUACUUAUUCAUCACUUAAGCCAUGUUUUGGCUCAGAAGAUACCAAGCAAAGCUGAAUAUUACUGUAUUUCAGAAAGGGGAGUAUUUCUUCAGUGCUCAUCUUGGGGGUCUUCAUAAAAAAUGAUUGACAGCUGACAGCUAAUGUCUAUUUUCACUUCAUUGCCUUAUGGGAAGAGAUAACCAUGAGCA
rnacentral:lncRNA from 1 species